CACAGGUCAGUAGCGCUUGGCUCUAUUAAAAUAACCUUUCUAACAUCAAAAAUACUCAUCCGAUGGUUAUGUUCUUUUUAGUCCUUGCCUACCGCGGGAGUAGGAGCCGUUUGGCCGCGGUAUAUGUCGGGAUUGUCAAGGGAAUUGGCCAGGUCCCCUUGCAUCCUGUUGGGGUAAUCCCCAGAUGGCAAGCUAAGUUACCUGGAGUCCCAGAACCUCGGUCUACACCUUCUGCUGGUACUGGUAGGAGGCUGUGGCAGCCUUUAUCCACCCCCCACGUUUACUCACACCCACUCACUCGCACACUCGAGGCCUGAGGCCUAUAGCCUAUGGCCCAUGGACAUUGGACAACUUGUGUGUGGGACUUUCAAGGACUCUUUGAAUCAUACCCGGUCGGAAUGAACUGAACAACCUGUCCAGACCGAACUGUGCAGUCCUAAAUCCAUCCAUGCGUGUGACUAGAUCCCAAACUGGUUUCCCCAUUGUGGGCUGAGCUGUUUUUUUGUAUUUUUGAUUAUUAUUUUGUAAAUACUCCACUCAAGUGCACUUAAAUAAUAUCUCUGCAGAUUGUAAAUAUUUGGGUUUUCUGUUUCUGGUUAUAACUUCUGGUUAUAUUAUAUUUUGUAUGUCAAAAUUCACUUUAAUAUAUGGUACCAACACCAACUUUGAA